AUUGAACGCUGGCGGCAUGCUUUACACAUGCAAGUCGAACGGUAACAGCACUUCGGUGGCUGACGAGUGGCGAACGGGUGAGUAAUACAUCGGAACGUGCCUAGUAGUGGGGGAUAACUACUCGAAAGAGUAGCUAAUACCGCAUGAGAUCUAAGGAUGAAAGCAGGGGACCUUCGGGCCUUGCGCUACUAGAGCGGCUGAUGGCAGAUUAGGUAGUUGGUGGGAUAAAAGCUUACCAAGCCGACGAUCUGUAGCUGGUCUGAGAGGACGACCAGCCACACUGGGACUGAGACACGGCCCAGACUCCUACGGGAGGCAGCAGUGGGGAAUUUUGGACAAUGGGCGCAAGCCUGAUCCAGCUAUGCCGCGUGCAGGAUGAAGGCCUUCGGGUUGUAAACUGCUUUUGUACGGAACGAAAAGCCCUCUUCUAAUACAGGAGGGUCAUGACGGUACCGUAAGAAUAAGCACCGGCUAACUACGUG
rnacentral:rRNA from 1 species